GCCGCCUCGGUUCUGCUGCUGAUCCAGAACCACGGCGACGGGUCGUGAUGAACGUAUUCCACCCUGGAGCCGGUGAGCGAAUCGCUUACGAUUCAAACGACUCAAACCGCAGGAGAAAAUGGCUGACGUCAACUUUGAGCUCAGCAGUUUCCAGGGGGAGAAGGACGGCCGGCUGAUUCUUCGCGCUACUGGACCUGCAGAACCCGACCCGGGCUUUGUUCCUGCCAAACCGACUGAAAACGUCUCACCUCGGCGUAAAGUCCUGCGGCGCCGGAUCGCACCUCAGCGCACAAAUUUCCAGAGAUCCAGCAGGACAAGAGCCACAAGACGGAGCGCAGGUCGCAGUCAGUGAGCCGG